rnacentral:rRNA from 1 species
GACGAACGCUGGCGGCGUGCUUAACACAUGCAAGUCGAACGGAAAGGCCCUGCUUUUGUGGGGUGCUCGAGUGGCGAACGGGUGAGUAACACGUGAGUAACCUGCCCUUGACUUUGGGAUAACUUCAGGAAACUGGGGCUAAUACCGGAUAGGAGCUCCUGCUGCAUGGUGGGGGUUGGAAAGUUUCGGCGGUUGGGGAUGGACUCGCGGCUUAUCAGCUUGUUGGUGGGGUAGUGGCUUACCAAGGCUUUGACGGGUAGCCGGCCUGUGAGGGUGACCGGCCACAUUGGGACUGAGAUACGGCCCAGACUCCUACGGGAGGCAGCAGUGGGGAAUAUUGCACAAUGGGCGGAAGCCUGAUGCAGCAACGCCGCGUGCGGGAUGACGGCCUCCGGGUUGUAAACCGCUUUCGCCUGUGACGAAGCGUGAGUGACGGUAAUGGGUAAAGAAGCACCGGCUAACUACGUG